CCAACGGCUCGGGGCUAGGCACGGGACGCGCCGUUAACGGCGGGUGAGCGCAUCCGUUUCUCGACCAGCCCGCGCCGUGUGCAGCUGUCUAGUACUGUACGCUGCUGGACCCACCAGUCAGCCCGUGCUUGACUGAAAUGCGUCCCCGUCCACCAGUUGCAUCUCUCUGCUUUGGGAAAAAAAAGGGGAUCGAGACCAAGGUGGGCGGCGGCGGCGGCGAAGCUCUCCGAUUUGCGGCGGCGCGGGCAUGGCUAUGGAUUUCCUCGUCUAGCCGGUUGACAAGCUGCCAAUCUUCCCCGACGAGGUGGCAAGCGCUGCGGCCCUAAUGGAGUUGAUUGGUGCCUUGGGCCGCGGAGACGAUGAAUCGGCCAAUGGAUCCAGGGUGGCUGUGGGCGGCGGAUUUGGUCAAGGGUCAUAUGGGCAGAUGUUGAAUGGUGCGGCGUGCAGCGAGGAGAGAACUGUAGAUGGUGGUGGCGCCGCCAUGUCCAGGUUCAGUGAGAGCGAGGGUGACAAUGAAGAAGCUCUUGACCAGGUGGAGGGGGAAGCACACUUUGAUGGAGACCAGGAGGCUGUGAUUCAGGAUCAAAUUGAUAGUGCUGAUGGAUGUUCUGCUCAAUCUACAGGCAAGGUGGAUCCGCAAGCACCUGGCUGGACAAAAAGAGUAAGAGUCGGCAAUCAACCGCCAGACAGGGCUCCAUGUAGGCGCUGAUGCAGUUUCCUCGUAGUCCACGGGCAAGAUGGAUCCGCAAGCGCGAGGGUGGACUAAAAGGGUUAAGACGGGUAAGCAUCCGCCGUUCAGGACUCAGUGUUCGGGGAGGAUCGGUGCACUGGAGCAAACUAUCGCGGGGGUAUGUGGAUAACUUGGGAGAGCAUGUUUGGGAGCGGAUCAUACACAUCAGGGAGUGUGCUGCCGCAGCCUGCUAUGCUAGAUGCAGGGGAGAACAUCCCAUGCAGACCAGCAUCUGGUUUGCAUGUAGGAGGGGCGGCCAGUGAGGCGGCAGAGAUCUGUGGCGGCGCUACGGUAAGUGAGAGCGAAGCCGACAAUGGAUACGUCGCCUCUGCCACUGGAGUUGGAGACGUGGUGGACGGUGACCAGCUAGCUGAUUCACGAGCGCGGCGAGAGUGACGAUGGAGCAUCAGCACAAUCAACGGGAAAGAUGGAUCCGCAGGCACUUGGGUGGACGAGAGGACGGCAGCGAGACGGCGCAGGUAACGGCGACAUGGCACAUGAGGGUGCUUCUUCGUCUGAACCAACGACUAUGAGACGCAUGUGGGUGCAUUAAAUGUCAACAGUGGUGCAGCUUUGCACUGUUCCAUAAAUCAGUUGAUGCUACCGAAUACACUCAAUAUACAACGCCUUUCUGGCAUCACGAGGAGAACUUAUGGUCCAUAUUUCAGGAGCAAAUGCACCCGAGAGCCGAAUUGCAUUUCCGCAUUUCCAUUUCCUUGAAGAUGUUUCCAAUGUUUUGCUGACUUAUAUUCUGCUAUCUGUGCUCUUUGUCAACUGGAACAUAACAGAACAAGAGUACGCAGCGCGAGUUGAUUAGAAAGACUAACAGAACAUAGGUGAUCUCUUUCCUGCUCAGUGAGAUGUAUUUAAUCAGUUAUUGCUUACUGCUGUCGAUGGAUGGACGUUUGCAUCAUCAUCCGAAUGUUUGCUUUUGAUCCACCUUAUUGUAUGGACUAGAUCAUUAAAGGCGCGCGUUGCCGCGCUCGUCUAAUUUGGCUCUAUAAUUUUUAGGGAUAGGAAGCAAUCUGUAUAUAAUUGUUUCCAAUGCUUUUGGAAUGGUGUUGUGCUUUUUUGCC